rnacentral:misc_RNA from 1 species
CAUCUGAGAGGAGUAGGGAAUAAAUUUAGAUGCAGCUGAUAUGCAGAUUCUACAAUGAUUGGCUUGGAACAGAAGGAAAUGUAUUGUGUUCAGAUGAGUCUUCAUGUGGAAGCAUUGUAUCUUGAUUCAUACUGUGGAAGACCCUAGGAGUAGAUAAAUUUGUUAAAUAGAUCUAAACAAAAUUGUGGAGUGCAAAUUUGGCGGUAAGAGGAACUUGCAGACAUAAAAAUGUAACUUCUAUGAUUGCUGGAGGAAUUUAUAUUGUUAGUUGUUAAGUAGAAGCAGAACAGGAAUCUUUGCAAAUGUUUAUUAAAGAAGAUAACGAGG